UAGGGAAUCUUCGGCAAUGGGGGGAACCCUGACCGAGCAACGCCGCGUGAGUGAAGAAGGUUUUCGGAUCGUAAAGCUCUGUUGUUAAGGAAGAACGAGUGUGAGAAUGGAAAGUUCAUGCUGUGACGGUACUUAACCAGAAAGGGACGGCUAACUACGUGCCAGCAGCCGCGGUAAUACGUAGGUGGCAAGCGUUGUCCGGAUUUAUUGGGCGUAAAGCGAGCGCAGGCGGUCAAUUAAGUCUGAUGUGAAAGCCCCCGGCUCAACCGGGGAGGGUCAUUGGAAACUGGUUGACUUGAGUGCAGAAGGGGAGAGUGGAAUUCCAUGUGUAGCGGUGAAAUGCGUAGAUAUAUGGAGGAACACCGGUGGCGAAAGCGGCUCUCUGGUCUGUAACUGACGCUGAGGCUCGAAAGCGUGGGGAGCGAACAGG
rnacentral:rRNA from 1 species